GCGAGAGUGGCGGAACUGGCAGACGCGCUGGAUUUAGGUUCCAGUGCCUUCGGGCGUGGGGGUUCGAGUCCCCCCUCUCGCACCA
rnacentral:tRNA from 1 species